rnacentral:lncRNA from 10 species
AUAUUUAUUGUUUCUGCAGUUAUUAGCUAUGGUUCUUUGGGCAAAAAUUGUAACCUCUCUGGGCUUCAGUUUUCUCAUCUGUGAAAUGGGAUGAUAAUAGCAUAUUUUUAUUUUUAUUCAUUUUUUUUUUUUUUUUUGAGACAGAGUCUCACUGUUGCCUUCCCCUGCCUCAGCCUCCCUAGUAGCUGGGACUACAGGCACACACCACCACACCCGGGUAGUUUUUUUUUUUUUUUUUUGUAUUUUUAGUAGAGACGGGGUUUCACCAUGGUGGCUGGUAUGGGGUGAGCCAGGGCAGGCAGGUGAGGAGAUGUGACGAGAGGUCACUGGGGGUGGAGAGAGAUUGUGUAGACCAUGUAGGCCUUAGAGUUCAUUGGCUUUUACUGAGUGGAGCCACUGGAAGGUUUUAAGCAGAGGGUGACAGAACUGACUUCUGUUUUAAUAGGUGCACUCUGGGUGCUCUGUGGGGUGGGGUGAGGGGCAAAAGUAGAAGCAGGGAUGACGGUUAGGAGGCUUUUGCAAUAAAGCAAGUGAAAGACAUUGGUAGCUAAGACGGAGGAGGCAUCAGUAGAGGUAGAAAGAAGUCGCUAAUAUUUGGUUUUAUUUUGAAAAUGGG